GCAGCAUGAUGUGAGAUGAUUGAUCGGGAGAGCUUGGGUGUACAACUAUAGACCUUGGCACUUCCUGAAUGGUGGGGACACCUCCAGCGGGCUGUUGAAGUCCUAGGUGGCUGUGGCCUGGAUUCGUGAUGCACUUGUUGAAGUGAAGCCAGCCACAAGGCAAGAACCAGGAUCAGGAGGCAUCAUGAUCUGCUGGCUGUAGUACGGCUUAGAGAGAGGGUUUAAUCCUUGGUUCAUUGGUCCACAGGUUUGAGCAGGCUCAUAGUCAUCAGUGGGUUCUGUUUUUAUAAUUGGAACUGUUAAGAGAGAAAAAAAAGUUAAAUAAACAUGAGUUGCAUAUUAGAGACCAAGUUGGCUUGUGGCUAGGAUACCCUUUGCAAAACAAACAACAUUUAGAAUAA